UGCUCGACUGUCCUCCAUCAUUUAGAACCGGGCGCUUCCUAUCCUGACUCUGCCCCGACACCUGAGCCCGCUCACGGAUCGAUACAUCUCCUCUCUCCACCCACAAUGCCUGCUCAAUCGACGUAUCCAAGGUCCUCAACCUCUACGCCUGCACCAACCGAAAGAUCUCCAGCCUCAAGCCUCCUUCGUACAGAUAUACCCUGUGGGCCUCAUCCCUAGCUACAAACGGUACACAGUUCAAAAGCCGAGUAAACUCACGAAUGUACUCCUGAACUGAGCGUUGUUUGAAGUAAAAAAAAAAAAAAAUUUGGGGCCAAUAAUUAUAAUUUAAAUCCAUAAUAGGCCCAUUCAUAUAUGCGAGUUGGUGGGCCUUUUGAAGGCCCGUUAAAAUUUUAAGCCAAUGUAAUAAUUUGGUCCUCAUUUCAGCCCAAUAAAUAUUAUUAUUUGUGCCCAACAAAUUUCAUUAAAAUGGGCUAAAUCAAUGACGGCCCAUAUCCACAAACUAGAAAAUAUCUAUUAUCCUAACAACCCCAUUCGAAAUUCGAUUUCAAAUCGCAACCGAUUCAAAAUUCAAUUUCGAAUUUCGAAUCCCCAACCAACCCCCAAAAAUCUCCCAACCAACCACAUCCAUUCGAAUUUUGAAUACCUAUUCAUCCAACAACCGAUUCAAAAUUCGAUUUGAAAUUUCGAAUCCCUAAUCAACCCCCAAAAUAUCUUCCAACCAAUCACAACUGAUUCAAAAUUCGAUUUCGAAUUUCGAAUCCCCAACCAACCCCCAAAAAUCUUCCAACCAACCACAUCUAUUCGAAUUUUGAAUAUCUAUCCAUUCAACAACUGAUUCAAAAUUCGAUUUCGAAUUUCGAAUCCCCAACCAACCCCCAAAAUAUCUUCCAACCAACCACAACAACCGAUUUCGAAUUUCGAAUCCCCGACCAACUCCUAAAAUAUCUUCCAACCAACCACAUCCAUUCGAAUUUUGAAUUUCUAUCCAUCCAACAACCAAUUCACGAAUCCCCAACCAACCCCCAAAAUAUCUUCCAACCAACCAUAACAACCGAUUUCGAAUUUCGAAUCCCCAACCAACUCCCAAAAUAUCUUCCAAUCAACCACAUCCAUUCGAAUUUUGAAUAUCUAUCAAUCCAACAACCGAUUCAAAAUUUGAUUUCGCAUUUCGAAUCUCUAACCGACUUAAAAUAUCUCUCGCCGCCCCUUCUACUAUAAAUAUGAGAAUAAAAAUCAAUACGGGGGACGAUACAAAGAGAUGAGAGAGCAAAUAGAUAGAGAGAGACAACGAAAAAAAAAGAGGAGAGAACAAAUAUAUAGGGAGAGACGAUAGCAAUAGAGAGAGAGAUUACGAUAAAAAGAGGAGAAAUAAUAUUAUUUCUACCCUUGCUACACGCUUUUCUACGUACAAAAAAAUUCAAGGGAGGAGAGAUCGCCGAGCCGCGGAAAGGAGGAGAGAUCGUUGAGCCGCUUUAUCCAAUCCGUCAUUUGAUCAACAGAUAAAAAAAUAAUAAUAAUAAAACAUGUCAAAAAAAUAAAAAAGAUACAUUUUCGCCCUCUCUUUUUCUUUUUCUUUUUUUUUAGGUCCUGCUACCGUAGUCAUCCAUAUCAUCUAGACGACUUCGAUGGGAGAGUGGAGGGGAGCCAAUGGCUUCCCGUUUCUUCGAACCUCUCAAUACCUCAUUCGACACUGUUAAUUGAUGGAAUGGGUGAUCUACAUUGCCGCGACCACCUCCA
rnacentral:lncRNA from 1 species